rnacentral:rRNA from 1 species
GAUAAACGCUGGCGGCGUGCUUAACACAUGCAAGUCGAACGGAGUACUUCUCCCGAGACCGAGGAAGCUUGCUUCCAAAGAAUCAUUUGAAGUACUUAGUGGCGGACGGGUGAGUAACGCGUGGGUAACCUGCCUCACACAGGGGGAUAACAGUUGGAAACGACUGUUAAUACCGCAUAAGCGCACAGUAUCGCAUGAUACAGUGUGAAAAACUCCGGUGGUGUGAGAUGGACCCGCGUCUGAUUAGCUAGUUGGUGAGGUAACGGCCCACCAAGGCGACGAUCAGUAGCCGGCCUGAGAGGGUGUACGGCCACAUUGGGACUGAGACACGGCCCAAACUCCUACGGGAGGCAGCAGUGGGGAAUAUUGCACAAUGGGGGAAACCCUGAUGCAGCGACGCCGCGUGAGUGAUGAAGUAUCUCGGUAUGUAAAGCUCUAUCAGCAGGGAAGAUAAUGACGUAC